GUAGGAAAUAUCAAUAAAAUAAUCAUUCCAUGUCGUCUUUUGAGGGCAUUUUUGAUUGUAAAAAAUAUAUGUGUACGUCAUCGUAGUCUCUGCAAUGAUAAUUUUAUCAGAGCAGUCUCGUGCAAGUAGAAGUUCUUUACCUAUUAGUUCUUCACUUAUUAGUCUCAACGUCUGGCGCAAAGCCAGACGUUUUCCAUUACGAUUUCACUACGAUGUUUCACAAGAAGGAGCAGUGCGCGAGAUAUGCUAAUGAGCAGACUUCCCUCGCUUGAGUUUCUGAAGAAUGUUCCAUAUCGCGCUAAGCUCAUCACUGCUGAUUAUGACAGGCGUGCAACGGUAGGUAUCUGCUCCCCAACUUCCACCCUAAUACCGCCCAUACGGUACAAUAAGUUACCAUUUGAUGGGAAUGGGACAAUGCCCUCACUGUGUAUGGAGUCAUAGGGAUAAGAAGACAUUAUUCAUUAGUGUUGGUACAAGUGAUUUUGCCUAAAAAGCAUGCGCAUUCAAAAAACAAAAUAUGCAAUGUAUCACGUACAUGACCAUGACGACGUGCAGAAAGUGCACUGGCCAGUGCAUACCCUAUGGCUAUGUGCUAGUAAACAUGGUAAACAUGAACAACGUCAUUAUUCAUCGGCUGUUCAUUUUACUCCGAGCUUUUUCUGAAACAUAUAGCCAUGAUGAUUAGGCCUACCAUGUACCAUGACCAAUAACAGCACUAGAUCAUGUAGAUGUCAACAAGUUCACAUGAACCGUUUAGCCCGCAUGGCGCAUGUGGCGCAUGCGUCUAAACCAAAGCCCCAAAAUCACUUGUUUUGGUCUAUUUCACUUGUGUUUACAACUGUUCAAUGGAUUUAUAGUUGAAUGCGAUCAAACUACGUCUUUUCAAUCGUGGAUUGUAAAUUUAACCCCAUGGGCCUAGGGAAGGCCCUAUAACAAUACUUUCGACACCGUGCUCACUGCUGAUUCUAAAAUGCACCACCUAGUCAAAACAGGACAUAUGUUCUUCUAGGAAUAGAUCUCUUUCCAAUAUUUCGUCAUUCCACUAUCGUCAUCACCUCAUGAUACUUUCAUUGACAUUACAGGCACACAUCCACAUAGCACUCUUCAAAUCAUCUACACAGUGGUUAUCCAACUAGGAUUAUAAAGGCACACAUUGACAUCGACCACUGUUGCAAUCAACGACACAGUCGCUAUCCAAGUAGCAUUGUAGAGCUGUCAUGCAACGCAACAACUGUGCUAUCUGCCAUCGCACAUCAACGAAGAAGUGCAGCCGCCCACAUUCCACCUCACGUCUGUCCGACCAGCUGCAAUCCUCGAGGACGCCCCACUGUACCACGAUUUCACUACGAUGUUUCACAAGAAGGAGCAGUGCGCGAGAUAGGCUAAUGAGCAGACUUCCCUCGCUUGAGUUUCGGAAGAAUGUUCCAUAUCGCGCUAAGCUGACCACUGCUGACCAUGACAGGCGUGCAUUGGACUGGUACAGGUUGGAACUGAACAUUGAAUAUGCUGGUGGUGACGCUUUCUGAUGAGAAGUUGGUCGUGACUGAUGCAGUAUCCUUGGACUUGUCAACAGCAUCGUUCAAUCAUUGGUCUCUGAGCUGCCUUGAUUCUGUACUUACCCAAAUACUAAGACCAAAUGCCUGUUGACUGUGCUUUAAGAGAGACUGGCGCCAUGCCUAGAGAUAUGACUGACCCCUAUUGGCAAAUUUGUAUGACUUUAUCUUGCCUACCUAGCUGCUGCCUAUAGUCUCCCUUUAACUGCAGAACACUUCAAAGUCGAUAAAAUGCCAUGUUCCACCUUUUAAUGUGUUCAGACCGCCAUUUUCAAAAUAAUCAAAUCAGGACACUGCCUUCUAGUCUCAUAAUAAAUUUUGCUUUCCUCAAUAAUAA